AGUGAACGCUGGCGGUAGGCCUAACACAUGCAAGUCGAACGGCAGCACAGUAAGAGCUUGCUCUUACGGGUGUCGAGUGGCGGACGGGUGAGGAAUACAUCGGAAUCUACUUUUUCGUGGGGGAUAACGUAGGGAAACUUACGCUAAUACCGCAUACGACCUACGGGUGAAAGCAGGGGAUCUUCGGACCUUGCGCGAUUGAAUGAGCCGAUGUCGGAUUAGCUAGUUGGCGGGGUAAAGGCCCACCAAGGCGACGAUCCGUAGCUGGUCUGAGAGGAUGAUCAGACACACGGGAACUGAGACACGGUCCAGACUCCUACGGGAGGCAGCAGUGGGGAAUAUUGGACAAUGGGCGCAAGCCUGAUCCAGCCAUACCGCGGGGGUGAAGAAGGACUUCGGGUUGUAAAGCCCUUUUGUUGGGAAAGAAAAGCAGCAGGUUAAUACCCCGCUGUUCUGACGGUACCCAAAGAAUAAGCACCGGCUAACUUCGUG
rnacentral:rRNA from 1 species